rnacentral:rRNA from 1 species
GACGAACGCUGGCGGCGUGCUUAACACAUGCAAGUCGAACGGUAAGGCCCUUCGGGGUACACGAGUGGCGAACGGGUGAGUAACACGUGGGUAAUCUGCCCUGCACUUCGGGAUAAGCCUGGGAAACUGGGUCUAAUACCGGAUAUUCAGUUCCUGCCGCAUGGUGGGGGUUGGAAAGUUUUUCGGUGCAGGAUGAGCCCGCGGCCUAUCAGCUUGUUGGUGGGGUAAUGGCCUACCAAGGCGACGACGGGUAGCCGGCCUGAGAGGGUGAUCGGCCACACUGGGACUGAGACACGGCCCAGACUCCUACGGGAGGCAGCAGUGGGGAAUAUUGCACAAUGGGCGAAAGCCUGAUGCAGCGACGCCGCGUGAGGGAUGACGGUCUUCGGAUUGUAAACCCCUUUCAGUAGGGACGAAGCGAAAGUGACGGUACCUGCAGAAGAAGCACCGGCCAACUACGUG